AUUGAACGCUGGCGGCAGGCCUAACACAUGCAAGUCGAGCGGAUGAAGGGAGCUUGCUCCUGGAUUCAGCGGCGGACGGGUGAGUAAUGCCUAGGAAUCUGCCUGGUAGUGGGGGAUAACGUCCGGAGACGGGCGCUAAUACCGCAUACGUCCUGAGGGAGAAAGUGGGGGAUCUUCGGACCUCACGCUAUCAGAUGAGCCUAGGUCGGAUUAGCUAGUUGGUGGGGUAAAGGCCUACCAAGGCGACGAUCCGUAACUGGUCUGAGAGGAUGAUCAGUCACACUGGAACUGAGACAAGGUCCAGACGCCUACGGGAGGCAGCAGUGGGGAAUAUUGGACAAUGGGCGAAAGCCUGAUCCAGCCAUGCCGCGUGUGUGAAGAAGGUCUUCGGAGUGUAAAGCACUUUAAGUUGGGAGGAAGGGCAGUAAGUUAAUACCUUGCUGUUUUGACGUUACCAACAGAAUAAGCACCGGCUAACUUCGUG
rnacentral:rRNA from 1 species